UCGGCCACCUUCACUCCUCAAUUCCUCUACUUCCUCACCAAAACCCUUCAUUUCCUUCACUCCGACCACCGUAUCUCACCACCGUAUCUCACUCCGGCCACCGUAUAUUGUCUCCUUGGUCGAAUAUCAGUUCCUUUCUUCAUAUCUGGUGUUCGUAGACUUCGUACUCCCUCAAUCCGCGACGCGCCACCACCUUCUGUCGCCACCACCUCUCUCAGUCACUCAAAGACUUGAAGAAUAUGAAAAUUACUGAUCCAAUCAACCCAAACUUGGUUGAGCUUGAUUGAAUGCAUGAAGAGUACGCUGCCAAGAAGAAGAAGCUAAUGCCAGAUUUGAAUGAAGUUGCUGCCAAUCUGUCAUACUGUCAUUUUAUGUUUAAGAUUACUGUUGUGUUUGACUGUCUAUAAUUUUUAUUUUGGCUGGACAAACUUAAGUGUUGUAAUUCGUGACAUUAAUUGUGGUGGUGGAAGCUUUGUCUAAAAA